GAAGAACGCUGGCGGCGUGCUUAACACAUGCAAGUCGAACGGAAAGGCCCUGCUUUUGUGGGGUGCUCGAGUGGCGAACGGGUGAGUAACACGUGAGUAACCUGCCCUUGACUUUGGGAUAACUUCAGGAAACUGGGGCUAAUACCGGAUAGGAGCUCCUGCUGCAUGGUGGGGGUUGGAAAGUUUCGGCGGUUGGGGAUGGACUCGCGGCUUAUCAGCUUGUUGGUGGGGUAGUGGCUUACCAAGGCUUUGACGGGUAGCCGGCCUGAGAGGGUGACCGGCCACAUUGGGACUGAGAUACGGCCCAGACUCCUACGGGAGGCAGCAGUGGGGAAUAUUGCACAAUGGGCGGAAGCCUGAUGCAGCAACGCCGCGUGCGGGAUGACGGCCUUCGGGUUGUAAACCGCUUUCGCCUGUGACGAAGCGUGAGUGACGGUAAUGGGUAAAGAAGCACCGGCUAACUACGUG
rnacentral:rRNA from 1 species